GUCAUAUCACGUUGAAUUGCUGGUUCUCUUACGAUCGCUGAAGUUAAGCAACGUCGAGCCGAGACAGUAUCUAGAUGGGUGACCGUUUGAGAAUACCGGGUGGUGUAAG